rnacentral:lncRNA from 13 species
UUUUUACCUCUUAAGAUAAAAAAGACCUUCAUAAGUCUGCCCAUGGCUUAGAAUAAAACAUUCAAACAUUCAAAAACAGAACACUGAUAUGAAUAUAGAACAUUUUUUUCCCGAUGAGGUCAACACAUUAAAGAAAAAAUUAUGCUCUAUCCAAAGUUGGCUUUAUUUCUGUUUCUUUUUGCAGACCCCUUGAUGAUAUGCACGACUUUUCAGUUUCUGAGAAAUAAUGAAACAUUGCCAUUUUCAAGAUAUUUUUGACCUGAUUUCCAGUGACCACUGUCAUCCUAAGAAUGGGAGAACAACUCAAGAUGGAUGUGGCAAAAGAAUCUUCUUCAGAGAGAUCCCCAGACUGAAAAAUCCACUUGACCAAACUCUCAGGGCUUACUUUGAGAGUGGGCAGUCUUAUGAUUCAGUAAACCUAGAUUUGGUGACCUCACUGAAGUUCUCCAGUAGGGACUCGUCUGGAGGCUGA